AACGAACGCUAGCGGGAUGCCUAACACAUGCAAGUCGAACGGAGUGGCGAACGGGUGAGUAAUGUAGGGGAAGUGGCCCAGUAGUGGGGGACCACUCCGCGACAGCGUAGUAAAGACCGCAUACGAUUGGGGCGGCCGAUGUCGGAUUAGAUAGUGGGGGGGGUAACGGCUCACCAGGUUGACGAUCCGUCGCCGGGUUGAGAGGAUGACCAGCCACAUUGGGACUGAGACACGGUCCAGACGCCUCCGGGAGGCAGCAGUGGGGAAUAUUGCACAAUGGGGGAAACCCUGAUCCAGCCAUCCCGCGUGUACGAUGAAGGCCUUCGGGUUGUAAAGCACUUUCAGCGGGAAGGCGUUACCUGCAGAAUAAGCACCGGCUAACUCCGUGCCAGCCGCCGCGGUAAUUC
rnacentral:rRNA from 1 species